rnacentral:rRNA from 1 species
GGGGGCGAGCGUUGUCCGAAGUUACUGGGCGUAAAGCGCGUGUAGGCGGGUUGCCAAGUCCGCUGGGAAAGCCCGAGGCUCAACCUCGGAGGGUCGGUGGAUACUGGCAGUCUUGAAGGUGCUAGGGGGAGAUGGAAUUACCGGUGUAGCGGUGAAAUGCGUAGAGAUCGGUAGGAACACCAGUGGCGAAGGCGGUCUCCUGGGGCAUUCUUGACGCUGAGACGCGAAAGCUGGGGGAGCGAACGGG